UACGUAGGUGGCAAGCGUUGUCCGGAUUUACUGGGCGUAAAGGAUGUGUAGGCGGAUAUUUAAGUGAGAUGUGAAAUCCCCGGGCUUAACUUGGGGGCUGCAUUUCAAACUGGAUGUCUAGAGUGCAGGAGAGGAAAGCAGAAUUCCUAGUGUAGCGGUGAAAUGCGUAGAGAUUAGGAAGAAUACCAGUGGCGAAGGCGGCUUUCUGGUCUACCCCUGACGUUGAGGAGCGAAAGCCAGGGGAGCAAACGGG
rnacentral:rRNA from 1 species